rnacentral:misc_RNA from 1 species
AACGCACAUUGCGCCCGCCAGCAUUCUGGCGGGCAUGCCUGUUCGAGCGUCACUUCCACCCUCAGGCCCGGCCUGGUGUUGGGGACCUGCGCACCGCAGCCCCCGAAAGACAACGGCGGUCCCGAUCUCAGGCCCCGAGCGUAGUACUGUACGUCGCUCCGGGUGCCUGGCGGGCGCUGGCCGUAAGCCUUUUAUUUUCUAUGGUUGACCUCGGAUCAGGUAGGAAUACCCGCUGAACUUAA